rnacentral:rRNA from 1 species
UUAAGCGACUAAGCGUACACGGUGGAUGCCCUGGCAGUCAGAGGCGAUGAAGGACGUGCUAAUCUGCGAUAAGCGUCGGUAAGGUGAUAUGAACCGUUAUAACCGGCGAUUUCCGAAUGGGGAAACCCAGUGUGAUUCGUCACACUAUCAUUAACUGAAUCCAUAGGUUAAUGAGGCGAACCGGGGGAACUGAAACAUCUAAGUACCCCGAGGAAAAGAAAUCAACCGAGAUUCCCCCAGUAGCGGCGAGCGAACGGGGAGCAGCCCAGAGCCUGAAUCAGUGUGUGUGUUAGUGGAAGCGUCUGGAAAGGCGCGCGAUACAGGGUGACAGCCCCGUACACAAAAAUGCACAUGCUGUGAGCUCGAUGAGUAGGGCGGGACACGUGGUAUCCUGUCUGAAUAUGGGGGGACCAUCCUCCAAGGCUAAAUACUCCUGACUGACCGAUAGUGAACCAGUACCGUGAGGGAAAGGCGAAAAGAACCCCGGCGAGGGGAGUGAAAAAGAACCUGAAACCGUGUACGUACAAGCAGUGGGAGCACGCUUAGGCGUGUGACUGCGUACCUUUUGUAUAAUGGGUCAGCGACUUAUAUUCUGUAGCAAGGUUAACCGAAUAGGGGAGCCGAAGGGAAACCGAGUCUUAACUGGGCGUUAAGUUGCAGGGUAUAGACCCGAAACCCGGUGAUCAGCCAUGGGCAGGUUGAAGGUUGGGUAACACUAACUGGAGGACCGAACCGACUAAUGUUGAAAAAUUAGCGGAUGACUUGUGGCUGGGGUGAAAGGCCAAUCAAACCGGGAGAUAGCUGGUUCUCCCGAAAGCUAUUUAGGUAGCGCCUCGUGAAUUCAUCUCCGGGGGUAGAGCACUGUUUCGGCAAGGGGGUCAUCCCGACUUACCAACCCGAUGCAAACUGCGAAUACCGGAGAAUGUUAUCACGGGAGACACACGGCGGGUGCUAACGUCCGUCGUGAAGAGGGAAACAACCCAGACCGCCAGCUAAGGUCCCAAAGUCAUGGUUAAGUGGGAAACGAUGUGGGAAGGCCCAGACAGCCAGGAUGUUGGCUUAGAAGCAGCCAUCAUUUAAAGAAAGCGUAAUAGCUCACUGGUCGAGUCGGCCUGCGCGGAAGAUGUAACGGGGCUAAACCAUGCACCGAAGCUGCGGCAGCGACGCUUAUGCGUUGUUGGGUAGGGGAGCGUUCUGUAAGCCUGUGAAGGUGUGCUGUGAGGCAUGCUGGAGGUAUCAGAAGUGCGAAUGCUGACAUAAGUAACGAUAAAGCGGGUGAAAAGCCCGCUCGCCGGAAGACCAAGGGUUCCUGUCCAACGUUAAUCGGGGCAGGGUGAGUCGACCCCUAAGGCGAGGCCGAAAGGCGUAGUCGAUGGGAAACAGGUUAAUAUUCCUGUACUUGGUGUUACUGCGAAGGGGGGACGGAGAAGGCUAUGUUGGCCGGGCGACGGUUGUCCCGGUUUAAGCGUGUAGGCUGGUUUUCCAGGCAAAUCCGGAAAAUCAAGGCUGAGGCGUGAUGACGAGGCACUACGGUGCUGAAGCAACAAAUGCCCUGCUUCCAGGAAAAGCCUCUAAGCAUCAGGUAACAUCAAAUCGUACCCCAAACCGACACAGGUGGUCAGGUAGAGAAUACCAAGGCGCUUGAGAGAACUCGGGUGAAGGAACUAGGCAAAAUGGUGCCGUAACUUCGGGAGAAGGCACGCUGAUAUGUAGGUGAAGUCCCUCGCGGAUGGAGCUGAAAUCAGUCGAAGAUACCAGCUGGCUGCAACUGUUUAUUAAAAACACAGCACUGUGCAAACACGAAAGUGGACGUAUACGGUGUGACGCCUGCCCGGUGCCGGAAGGUUAAUUGAUGGGGUCAGCGCAAGCGAAGCUCUUGAUCGAAGCCCCGGUAAACGGCGGCCGUAACUAUAACGGUCCUAAGGUAGCGAAAUUCCUUGUCGGGUAAGUUCCGACCUGCACGAAUGGCGUAAUGAUGGCCAGGCUGUCUCCACCCGAGACUCAGUGAAAUUGAACUCGCUGUGAAGAUGCAGUGUACCCGCGGCAAGACGGAAAGACCCCGUGAACCUUUACUAUAGCUUGACACUGAACAUUGAGCCUUGAUGUGUAGGAUAGGUGGGAGGCUUAGAAGUGUGGACGCCAGUCUGCAUGGAGCCGACCUUGAAAUACCACCCUUUAAUGUUUGAUGUUCUAACGUUGACCCGUAAUCCGGGUUGCGGACAGUGUCUGGUGGGUAGUUUGACUGGGGCGGUCUCCUCCUAAAGAGUAACGGAGGAGCACGAAGGUUGGCUAAUCCUGGUCGGACAUCAGGAGGUUAGUGCAAUGGCAUAAGCCAGCUUGACUGCGAGCGUGACGGCGCGAGCAGGUGCGAAAGCAGGUCAUAGUGAUCCGGUGGUUCUGAAUGGAAGGGCCAUCGCUCAACGGAUAAAAGGUACUCCGGGGAUAACAGGCUGAUACCGCCCAAGAGUUCAUAUCGACGGCGGUGUUUGGCACCUCGAUGUCGGCUCAUCACAUCCGGGCUGAAGUAGGUCCCAAGGGUAUGGCUGUUCGCCAUUUAAAGUGGUACGCGAGCUGGGUUUAGAACGUCGUGAGACAGUUCGGUCCCUAUUCGCCGUGGGCGCUGGAGAACUGAGGGGGCUGCUCCUAGUACGAGAGGACCGGAGUGGACGCAUCACUGGUGUUCGGGUUGUCAUGCCAAUGGCACUGCCCGGUAGCUAAAUGCGGAAGAGAUAAGUGCUGAAAGCAUCUAAGCACGAAACUUGCCCCGAGAUGAGUUCUCCCUGACUCCUUGAGAGUCCUGAAGGAACGUUGAAGACGACGACGUUGAUAGGCCGGGUGUGUAAGCGCAGCGAUGCGUUGAGCUAACCGGUACUAAUGAACCGUGAGGCUUAACCU